rnacentral:rRNA from 1 species
AUUGAACGCUGGCGGCGUGCUUAACACAUGCAAGUCGAUCGGUAACGCGGGGGCAACCCUGGCGACGAGAGGCGGACGGGUGAGGAACGCUUGGGAAUCUGCCUAUCAGCGGGGGACAACACGGGGAAACUCGUGCUAAUACCGCAUACGCUCUACGGAGGAAAGCCGGGGACCGCAAGGCCUGGCACUGAUAGAUGAGCCCAAGCCGGAUUAGCUAGUUGGCGGGGUAACGGCCCACCAAGGCGACGAUCCGUAGCUGGUCUGAGAGGACGAGCAGCCACACUGGAACUGAGACACGGGCCAGAAUCCUACGGGAGGCAGCAGUGGGGAAUAUUGGACAAUGGGGGAAACCCUGAUUCAGCGACGCCGCGUGGGUGAAGAAGGCCUGCGGGUUGUAAAGCCCUUUCGGUAGGGACGAAAGCUCUCGACCUAACACGUCGGGAGGUUGACUUAACCUACAGAAGAAGCACCGGCUAACUCUGUGCCAGCAGCCGCGGUAAUAC